rnacentral:rRNA from 1 species
UGCCAGCCGCCGCGGUAAUACGGGGGGUGCAAGCGUUGUUCGGAUUGACUGGGCGUAAAGAGCGCGUAGGCGGGUUUGCAAGUCGGAUGUGAAAGCCCCGGGCUUAACCUGGGAACUGCAUCCGAAACUGUAAAUCUUGAAUGCCCGAGAGGUUGGUGGAGUUCCAGGUGUAGGAGUGAAAUCCGUAGAUAUCUGGAGGAACACCGGAGGCGAAGGCGGCCAACUGGGGGAGCAUUGACGCUGAGGCGCGAAAGCGUGGGGAGCAAACAGGAUUAGAUA